UGAGGCAUUACUGAGUGUUUUAGAUAAUAAUUGCAGCAUAUAACUCUCUCAGUUACGUUUAGAUGAAGAGCAGGAGGCUGAAUGUCAGGCUUUAAGGCAGCAGCUACAUCAGGAGAUGGAGCUCCUCGAUGCCAGAACAAAACCAAGGCGCAGAUGGAGGCCCAACAUGAGCGUGAGGUGCAGAAGUUGGAACAGAAGGCGUCUUUGCGCCGGGCUCACUUGGAACAGAAGAUUGAAGAAGACCUGGCCUCAUUUCAUAAGGAACGGACUGAAAAAAAAUCAAGCAUUUAUUUACGCGUCAGGAGUGAGAACUGGAGAUGUUUGAUUCAGAGAGUGCACGGCUAGGAUUUGGAAGCUUGGCCUCAUUUGACUUUCCCAAGGAUGAGGCCAGAUGAUCCAACAGAGGUGAAAGGGACUGUUCAACACUGAUGUCUUUGGACACAUUGUGCCUGCACUGUCCCUGAUUGUAGGAUUUACCAAGAUCAUCCAAACAGUGACCAUGCUGGAUCAAUAUCUUAUAACUCAUAUCGGCUGUGAGAACUUCACUGAUAUUCUGAAAGGAGAAACUAACACAAACACAAAAGUGGUUUGGUGGUGCAUCACUGAGCUCAUAAACCAAGAAGAAAUAUCUAGACAAACUGACCUUUUCUCCAUGCCAUUGUCCCACUUUUGGUAUUAAAUUAGUAAUUCAGGAUAUUUUAGUACAAGUAAGCACUUUGAUAUGUUAAGUACGAUCCCAUCAUGUUAGGUGGAUAUGAAGUGUGAAAUGCCUUUGGUGUCAUCAAAGGACAUUGCGACUGUAGAAUGUGUCCUGCAUCUUCACCGUGGCUAUUAGCUGUUUUGUAUGUAUCACAGAGAAUGUGACAACUGUUGAUGAAAACUUUACACAGAAGCAGAUUUUCAAGCAGUGUCUGAUUUUAAAAUAUGGUGAAUACAU